AAUGGGAUAACUGGGUCAAAUGGUGGUUCUAUUCCAAGUUUUCUGAGGAAUCUCCAUACUGCUUUCCAAAGUGGUGGCACCAAUUUGCACUCCCACUAGCAAU
rnacentral:pre_miRNA from 1 species